AGAGUUUGAUCCUGGCUCAGGACGAACGCUGGCGGCGUGCUUAACACAUGCAAGUCGAACGAUGAACUCCAGCUUGCUGGGGGGAUUAGUGGCGAACGGGUGAGUAACACGUGAGUAACCUGCCCCUGACUCUGGGAUAAGCGCUGGAAACGGCGUCUAAUACCGGAUAUGACAAUCGACGGCAUCGUCUGGUUGUGGAAAGAAUUUCGGUUGGGGAUGGACUCGCGGCCUAUCAGGUUGUUGGUGAGGUAAUGGCUCACCAAGCCUACGACGGGUAGCCGGCCUGAGAGGGUGACCGGCCACACUGGGACUGAGACACGGCCCAGACUCCUACGGGAGGCAGCAGUGGGGAAUAUUGCACAAUGGGCGCAAGCCUGAUGCAGCAACGCCGCGUGAGGGACGACGGCCUUCGGGUUGUAAACCUCUUUUAGUAGGGAAGAAGCGAAAGUGACGGUACCUGCAGAAGAAGCGCCGGCUAACUACGUGCCAGCAGCCGCGGUAAUACGUAGGGCGCAAGCGUUGUCCGGAAUUAUUGGGCGUAAAGAGCUCGUAGGCGGUUUGUCGCGUCUGCUGUGAAAACCUGAGGCUCAACCUCGGGCUUGCAGUGGGUACGGGCAGACUAGAGUGCGGUAGGGGUGACUGGAAUUCCUGGUGUAGCGGUGGAAUGCGCGAUAUCAGGAGGAACACCGAUGGCGAAGGCAGGUCACUGGGCCGCAACUGACGCUGAGGAGCGAAAGCAUGGGGAGCGAACAGGAUUAGAUACCCUAGUAGUCC
rnacentral:rRNA from 1 species